rnacentral:rRNA from 1 species
AUGGUGGGGAUUCGGUCUGAAGAAAUUUGGCAACAAAUAAAUUUGAGGAAAGAAUACGAACACCAUUUUCGUCGUUGCACACCUGGACUCUCACGGAUAUCUGGGAAUGAGCGCUUCCUAUUCAAAAUUUACUUGCAGAAUCAACUGAUUGGCAUGUAUUACCGCAGAAAAAGAAAGCCUUCCGACCCCUUCAAUAAUCUUUCACUUACUGCAAAUACGAUUCGCAGUUGGGGAUGUGGCAGUGUUACCGAGGAGUGGGACAGCUUGUAUGCUCAGAAGGUCCAAUUGUUUACUUUCCUUUCUACUCUGCCCGAGCCCGCUCUGAGUUAUGGGCCGAGUGUUAAAACUAAUAUGGCCAAUUCUAUCGAGUAA